rnacentral:rRNA from 1 species
UGUUAGUGGAAGCGUCUGGAAAGGCGCGCGAUACAGGGUGACAGCCCCGUACACAAAAGCGCAUGUGCUGUGAGCUCGAUGAGUAGGGCGGGACACGUGGUAUCCUGUCUGAAUAUGGGGGGACCAUCCUCCAAGGCUAAAUACUCCUGACUGACCGAUAGUGAACCAGUACCGUGAGGGAAAGGCGAAAAGAACCCCGGCGAGGGGAGUGAAAAAGAACCUGAAACCGUGUACGUACAAGCAGUGGGAGCACAGGUUUACCUGUGUGACUGCGUACCUUUUGUAUAAUGGGUCAGCGACUUAUAUUCUGUAGCAAGGUUAACCGAAUAGGGGAGCCGGAGGGAAACCGAGUCUUAAUUGGGCGUUAAGUUGCAGGGUAUAGACCCGAAACCCGGUGAUCUAGCCAUGGGCAGGUUGAAGGUUGGGUAACACUAACUGGAGGACCGAACCGACUAAUGUUGAAAAAUUAGCGGAUGACCUGUGGCUGGGGGUGAAAGGCCAAUCAAACCGGGAGAUAGCUGGUUCUCCCCGAAAGCUAUUUAGGUAGCGCCUCGUGAAUUCAUCUCCGGGGGUAGAGCACUGUUUCGGCUAGGGGGCCAUCCCGGCUUACCAACCCGAUGCAAACUGCGAAUACCGGAGAAUGUUAUCACGGGAGACACACGGCGGGUGCUAACGUCCGUCGUGAAGAGGGAAACAACCCAGACCGCCAGCUAAGGUCCCAAAGUCAUGGUUAAGUGGGAAACGAUGUGGGAAGGCCCAGACAGCCAGGAUGUUGGCUUAGAAGCAGCCAUCAUUUAAAGAAAGCGUAAUAGCUCACUGGUCGAGUCGGCCUGCGCGGAAGAUGUAACGGGGCUAAACCAU